GGUACAUUUUGAGAAUCCAGCCAUGUGGUCCUUUGUCAAGAGGCUGACUUUUCUGCUUCCUACUGCAUUAAACCUCAGUUCAAUCUAUGCAUACUGUCUACUGCAGAUUUCAUCUUACAGAACUGAAAGAGGCUGGAGAAAACACUUCCAUACAGGACUAUUAAAGUGAAACUGAAUGAGAUGCUCGAUUGAUAAGGCAGGCAUACCAGGAGGACAUCUGUAUGAAAUAAAUGCAUUGUGUGUGUUGUAGAGAAUAGCAGCUGCAGUGAGAGCAGGAUACAGAGGAGGAACUGAUGGUCUCUGGGGGUUCUCAUGGCUGUCUGAACGUUUGAAGGGUAUCCUGCUCAGCAGAGGCAGCAACCUCCAUCUUCUGUUUGUAGUCAGCUGGGGACCAUCUUUUAAAGCUUUGUUUUUAACUGUGAAAAUAAGCUGUGAGGAACAAUAUUUUAAAAUGUGCAUAGAAUGGGGUGUUUUUUUUUUUUUUUACACGAAACAUUUUAAGAGGUGUGCAGUUAACCACCUUUCUCUGCAGUUGCAGCUCUGUUUUGGGAAAUCUCUCCACCAGCUUUGUAAUCUAGAGACAAUCUUUUGCCCAUUCAUUUUGCAAAAUAGCUAAAGUCACAAUGUGAUUUUCUGGAUUUUUGUUU